GACGGGGGGGGCAAGUGUUCUUCGGAAUGACUGGGCGUCAAGGUCACGUAGGCGGUGAAUCGGGUUGAAAGUGAAAGUCGCCAAAAAGUGGCGGAAUGCUCUCGAAACCAAUUCACUUGAGUGGGACAGAGGAGAGUGGAAUUUCGUGUGUAGGGGUGAAAUCCGUAGAUCUACGAAGGAAGGCCAAAAGCGAAGGCAGCUCUCUGGGUCCCUACCGACGCUGGGGUGCGAAAGCAUGGGGAGCGAACAGG
rnacentral:rRNA from 1 species